rnacentral:rRNA from 1 species
UACAGAGGGUGCGAGCGUUAAUCGGAAUUACUGGGCGUAAAGGGCGCGUAGGUUGUUGUGUAAGUGAGAUGUGAAAUCCCCGGGCUUAACCUGGGAACUGCAUCUUAUACUGCAUAACUGGAGUGCAAUAGAGGGUAGUGGAAUUUCCGGUGUAGCGGUGAAAUGCGUAGAUAUCGGAAGGAACACCAGUGGCGAAGGCGGCUACCUGGAUUGACACUGACGCUGAGGAGCGAAAGCGUGGGGAGCGAACAGG